rnacentral:rRNA from 1 species
AUCUAGCCAUGCCGCGUGUGUGAUGAAGGCCCUAGGGUCGUAAAGCACUUUCGCCAGAGAUGAUAAUGACAGUAUCUGGUAAAGAAACCCCGGCUAACUCCGUGCCAGCAGCCGCGGUAAUACGGAGGGGGUUAGCGUUGUUCGGAAUUACUGGGCGUAAAGCGCACGUAGGCGGAUUAGUAAGUUAGAGGUGAAAUCCCAGGGCUCAACCCUGGAACUGCCUUUAAUACUGCUAGUCUUGAGUUCGAGAGAGGUAAGUGGAAUUCCGAGUGUAGAGGUGAAAUUCGUAGAUAUUCGGAGGAACACCAGUGGCGAAGGCGGCUUACUGGCUCGAUACUGACGCUGAGGUGCGAAAGCGUGGGGAGCAAACGGGAUUAGAUACCCCGGUAGUCCACGCCGUAAACGAUGUCUACUAGCUGUAGGGGUACUUGAGACCUUUGUAGCGCAGCUAACGCACUAAGUAGACCGCCUGGGGAGUACGGCCGCAAGGUUAAAACUCAAAUGAAUUGACGGGGGCCCGCACAAGCAGUGGAGCAUGUGGUUUAAUUCGAUGCAACGCGAAGAACCUUACCAGGCCUUGACAUCCUCGGAACUUUCUAGAAAUAGAUUGGUGCCUUCGGGAACCGAGUGACAGGUGCUGCAUGGCUGUCGUCAGCUCGUGUCGUGAGAUGUUGGGUUAAGUCCCGUAACGAGCGCAACCCUUGUCCUUAGUUGCCAGCACAUAAUGGUGGGAACUCUAAGGAGACUGCCGGUGACAAACCGGAGGAAGGUGUGG